AGAGUUUGAUCCUGGCUCAGGAUGAACGCUAGCGGCAGGCUUAACACACGCAAGUCGAGGGGCAGCGGGGAGGAAGCUUGCUUUCUCCGCCGGCGACCGGCGCACGGGUGAGUAACACGUAUGCAACCUGCCCCUGUCAGGGGGACAACCCGCCGAAAGGCGGGCUAAACCCGCGUACAUGCCACCGGGGCAUCCCGGAGGCAGGAAAGGCUUCGGCCGGACAGGGAUGGGCAUGCGGCGCAUUAGGCAGUAGGCGGGGUAACGGCCCACCUAACCGACGAUGCGUAGGGGUUCUGAGAGGAAGGUCCCCCACACUGGUACUGAGACACGGACCAGACUCCUACGGGAGGCAGCAGUGAGGAAUAUUGGUCAAUGGUCGGGAGACUGAACCAGCCAAGCCGCGUGAGGGAGGAAGGUACAGAGUAUCGUAAACCUCUUUUGUCAGGGAACAAAGGCGGGGACGUGUCCCCGGAUGAGUGUACCUGAAGAAAAAGCAUCGGCUAACUCCGUGCCAGCAGCCGCGGUAAUACGGAGGAUGCGAGCGUUAUCCGGAUUUAUUGGGUUUAAAGGGUGCGCAGGCGGUCUGUUAAGUCAGCGGUCAAAGCCCGGGGCUCAACCCCGGCCCGCCGUUGAAACUGGCAGUCUCGAGUUGGAGAGAAGUAUGCGGAAUGCGCGGUGUAGCGGUGAAAUGCAUAGAUAUCGCGCAGAACUCCGAUUGCGAAGGCAGCGUACCGGCGCCCAACUGACGCUGAAGCACGAAGGCGUGGGUAUCGAACAGGAUUAGAUACCCUGGUGGUCCACGCAGUAAACGAUGAAUGCUAGUUGUCCGGGGCGAUUGAGUUCUGGGUGACACAGCGAAAGCGUUAAGCAUUCCACCUGGGGAGUACGCCGGCAACGGUGAAACUCAAAGGAAUUGACGGGGGCCCGCACAAGCGGAGGAACAUGUGGUUUAAUUCGAUGAUACGCGAGGAACCUUACCCGGGCUCAAACGCAGGAGGGAUGUUUUUGAAAGGAGGCAGCCAGCAAUGGUCUCCUGCGAGGUGCUGCAUGGUUGUCGUCAGCUCGUGCCGUGAGGUGUCGGCUUAAGUGCCAUAACGAGCGCAACCCCUACCUACAGUUGCCAUCGCGUGAUGGCGGGUACUCUGUGGGGACUGCCUGCGCAAGCAGUGAGGAAGGCGGGGACGACGUCAAAUCAGCACGGCCCUUACGUCCGGGGCGACACACGUGUUACAAUGGCAGGUACAGCGGGAAGCCACCCGGCGACGGGGCGCGGAACCCGAAAACCUGUCUCAGUUCGGAUUGGAGUCUGCAACCCGACUCCAUGAAGCUGGAUUCGCUAGUAAUCGCGCAUCAGCCACGGCGCGGUGAAUACGAACCCGGGUCUUGCACUCACCGCCCGUCAAG
rnacentral:rRNA from 1 species